GAGACAUAGUGGAGGUUAACAGAAUGACAGAUGGUGCAUGGUUGUCGUCAGCUCGUGUCGUGAGAUGUUCGGUUAAGUCCUGCAACGAGCGCAACCCUUAUCCUUAGUUACUACCAUUUAGUUGAGCACUCUAAGGAGACUGCCCGAGUAAUCGGGAGGAAGGUGGGGACGACGUCAAAUCAUCAUGCCUCUUACGAGUGGGGCUACACACGUGCUACAAUGGACGGUACAAAGAGAAGCGAAGUGGUGACAUGGAGCAAACCUCAAAAAACCGUUCUCAGUUCGGAUUGAAGUCUGCAACUCGACUUCAUGAAGUCGGAAUCGCUAGUAAUCGUAGAUCAGCUACGCUACGGUGAAUACGUUCUCGGGUCUUGUACACACCGCCCGUCAAACCAUGGGAGCUGGUAAUGCCCGAAGUCGGUUUAUAAAGAAACUGCCUAAGGCAGGACUGGUGACUGGGGUUAAGUCGUAACAAGGUAUCCCUACGAGAACGUGGGGAUGGAUUACCUCCUUUCUA
rnacentral:rRNA from 1 species